rnacentral:lncRNA from 1 species
ACCUCAACCUGGAAGGCAUUGCAGUGGGUGCAAGGCAGGACAAGCCCACGGAGCAAGCACUUCGGGUCGGCACUCACCUGCCCAGGAACUGAGAGAUACAAAAAAUUAGCCGGACGUCCUGGCGUGUGCCUGUAAUCCCAGCUACUCAGAAGGCUAAGGCAAGAGAAUCGCUUGAACCUGGGAGGCGGAGGUUGCAGUGAGCCAAGAUAGCGCCAUGGCACUCCAGCUUGGGCAAGAAGAGAAAAACUCCAUCUCCAAAAAAAAAAAAAAGAAAAGAAAAGAAAAAAAAAAGAUCUGCAUCCUUUGAGCUCACACCAAUGGAUGAGAAAGAAGCAGGUGAAGGAAUUUAUUGUUAUAUUAUAUUAAAUAAAUAAUAAUAGUAACAGCCCUUAUGCCACUCUCAAGGAGCAUUCUCGUGUGCAUAGUUGCUUCUGUUGAGCCCGCUGGAAUAUCUGCUUCUGCAAUGAGGAUGUUGGGCCCUGGGCAACCUGAGAACCUACCCAGUGCUGGCACACAGGAGCACAGAGAGAGCUGGGACAGACUGUCUGGUGGAAUCAGCCCUCGGUGGACACCCUCGCCAGAGUGCAGCGUUACAGGCACUAUUAUCUGCAUGUCUCUAGACAACAUAAUAGACAGACUCAGGGUUCAAAGCUUAGAACCAAUGAUGCCUCCUUCUGGAAGCCCUCUCCUUCCAAUGGUUGGAAUGAGUCCCCUCUGCCCUGUGUUUCCAUGACCAUGCUAUGGCCUUUAUCAUUCCAUUCACCAUAGCAGUCCCCUUUCAUGAAUGACAGGCACUAUGUCAGUGGCCUCAGUGAAUCUCCCCAUGGGAGAGAUGAGGGGCCACAAGAGGGCUGGGGCAGAGAAGCAUCAUCACCUUAGUGGUUAACAGGAUGCAGGGGAGCAGGGAUGGAUGUAGGCAGACAGGUCAGGAAGCCAUGGCAGUGAUGCCAGUGAGAGCUGAUGGUGGCAGUGAAGGCAGGAAGAACUAGUUGGAUUAUA